rnacentral:rRNA from 1 species
UACGAAGGGUGCUAGCGUUGUUCGGAAUCACUGGGCGUAAAGCGCGCGUAGGCGGCUAUUCAAGUCAGAGGUGAAAUCCCGGGGCUUAACCCCGGAAUUGCCUUUGAAACUGUAUAGCUAGAGUGUCGGAGGGGAUAGCGGAAUUGCUAAUGUAGAGGUGAAAUUCGUAGAUAUUAGCAGGAACACCGGUGGCGAAGGCGGCUAUCUGGACGACAACUGACGCUGAGGCGCGAAAGCGCGGGGAUCAAACAGG